ACACCUCAACUCUCAUGGUUUGCCGUGAUGAGCUUGGAUUUUGGGGGUCUUGCUGGCCUUUGGUCGGCUCCUCUCAAACGGAUCAGCUUUCCAGUGUUUGGUGGCGUCACGGGUGUGAUAACUAUCUACGCCUGUGGUUUUCUGCCAGAUAACCUUCAGUGAUGGAGGUUCGCUGGGGCUCAUAAAUGUCUCUCUUCAGUGGAGACAGCUUUUGGAC
rnacentral:misc_RNA from 1 species